CAAAGUGAUUUGCCCGGUGCUUUGACCAGUUUCUUCAAGUGAUUGGGCAAAUCACUGCCCAUAUCGCUUCUCUGUGAGUCAGUCUUCUGUGUCUUUGCGAGUGAUUUGACCAGUGAUCUUCGAGUUUCUUGGGCAAAUCACUGCCCAUAUCACUGCUAUCUGUUGCCUCCGGGUUUCUGCUUUGACUUGAUCUGGGCAGUGAUUGGAGCAGAUUUUUGGGCAAAUCACUGGGCAAAUCAUCCUUUUGUAAUUUUUCUGCACUUUUUCUCCCAUUUUCCAAUUUCUUCCUUUUCUGUAAAAACAAGAUAAAAAUCAUAAAUUAAUCUAAAAAAUGUGUAAAUAAGCAAUAAUAAUUAUGAUAAAAAUGUGACUAAAUUAUGCUUGAUCA
rnacentral:lncRNA from 1 species